rnacentral:lncRNA from 1 species
UUCGUGAAGAGUGUACAAAAAAGUGAAACGCCGGUAUAGUUAGUUUUGUUUUUGAAAAUUAAAAAGUAAGAUAUCGUGGAACGAGUGUUAGGCCUAGUCGAGAUAGUAUAUAAUUCAUUGAGUCUAGAGUAUCCCGGUUUGUUGAAGUGUUUAAAAAAGGUGGAACACGGCAUCAGGAGAAGGCAGGAACGAGGGCUGUACGAGGCGUAGUUUUCAAAGGAGCCGAGGCAUUACUGGAAGACUUGGACGAGUCGUUGGAUCGCAACCCAAGCCAAUAGGAAACGUGUUUUGUGUGAAGACAUUGUCAAAUCAUCAGUAAAGGUCAGUCUAUUUUGUUAUGACAUGAAUGUAUGGUUUGUGUAUUAAAUACCACAUUGAAAAUUGAGCCACACAAUCACUAU